AUGAACCUAGGGGGCAGCAGUGGGGAAUAUUGCACAAUGGGGGGAACCCUGAUGCAGCGACGCCGCGUGAGCGAAGAAGUAUCUCGGUAUGUAAAGCUCUAUCAGCAGGGAAGAAAAUGACGGUACCUGACUAAGAAGCUCCGGCUAAAUACGUGCCAGCAGCCGCGGUAAUACGUAUGGAGCAAGCGUUAUCCGGAUUUACUGGGUGUAAGGGGAGCGCAGGCGGCGCGCCAAGUCUGGUGUGAAACCCCGGGGCUCAACCCCGGGCCUGCAUUGGAACCUGUCGGGCUGGAGUGUC
rnacentral:rRNA from 1 species